GUAAAAGUCAGUGAGUCGGGCGGGGACUGGCCCAGAGGCGCGCCCCGCGUUGUCCUCCGGCCGUCUCCCCGCCCGUCCUUCUCUGCUCUCUCCGACUUGCCCUCCCGGCGGACUUAGCCUGGACCCCGGCCGGCCGGCCGGCCGGCCCCUCCCGUUCCCGGCCCCGGCAAUGAGGGUGGCAACCCUACCCCAGGACUGCAAGAGAGGAAGAAGAGGAAGAGGAGACCGGGGAGCCCCAACCUGAAGGUGUUGUGGGGCGGAGCUCAGACCCCGCCCCACUCGCCUAGAGUUGAGGACAGAAACCCCGGCUGUGGUGGCCAUAGCUGAAGAAGAGAAGGAGGAGGAGGAGGAGGAGG